rnacentral:rRNA from 1 species
GGACUACCGGGGUAUCUAAUCCGUCUUGCUCCCCACGCUUUCGUGCCUCAACGUCAGGAACCGAAUAGUUAACUGCCUUCGCCGUUUGGUGUUCCUCUAUAUAUUUGAGCAUUUUACCGCUACACAUAGAAUUCCGUUAACCCCUCCGGUCCUCUAGUUAAAUAGUAUUACCGACUUCCACAGGGUUGAGCCCUGAUUUCCCACCGAUAACUUGUUCAACCACCUACGCACACUUUACGCCCAGUAAUUCCGGAUAACGUUCGCCACCUAUGUCUUACCGCGGCUGCUGGCAC